rnacentral:rRNA from 1 species
GACGAACGCUGGCGGCGCGCUUAACACAUGCAAGUCGAGCGGGAACCAGGGCUUCGGCCCUGGGGACAGCGGCGAACGGGUGAGUAACACGUGGGUAAUCUGCCCUCGGCAUCGGGAUAGCCCGAGGAAACCCGGAUUAAUACCGAAUAGCCUCCGGAGCUCUCGGGCGCCGGAGAAAAGGUAGCUUCGGCCUCUGGCCGAGGAUGAGCCCGCGGCGGAUUAGCUUGUUGGCGGGGUAACGGCCCACCAAGGCGACGAUCCGUGGCUGGUCUGAGAGGACGAUCAGCCACACGGGGACUGCGACACGGCCCAGACUCCUACGGGAGGCAGCAGUGGGGAAUCUUGCGCUAAUGCGGGAAACCGUGACGCAGCGAGGCCGCGUGGGGGAAGAAGGCCUUCGGGUUGUAAACCUCUUUCAGGAGGGACGAAGCUACUCGGGUGAAUAGCCCAGAGGGUGACGGUACCUCCAGAAGAAGCCCCGGCUAACUACGUGCCAGCCGCCGCAGUAAGAC